rnacentral:rRNA from 1 species
AUACGUAGGUGGCAAGCGUUGUUCGGAUUUACUGGGUGUAAAGGGCGUGUAGGCGGAGAUGCAAGUCAGGAGUGAAAUCUAGGGGCUCAACCCCUAAACUGCUUUUGAAACUGUAUCCCUUGAGUAUCGGAGAGGCAGGCGGAAUUUCUCUUGUUUCGGUGAAAUGCGUAGAUAUUAGGAGGAACACCAGUGGCGAAGGCGGCCUGCUGGACGACAACUGACGCUGAGGCGCGAAAGCGUGGGGAGCAAACAGGAUUAGAUACCCUGGUAGUCCACGCUGUAAACGAUGAAUACUAGGUGUGGGGGGACUGACCCCCUCCGUGCCGCAGUUAACACAAUAAGUAUUCCACCUGGGGAGUACGAUCGCAAGAUUGAAACUCAAAUGAAUUGACGGGG